UACGAAGGGGGCUAGCGUUGCUCGGAAUCACUGGGCGUAAAGGGUGCGUAGGCGGGUCUUUUAAGUCAGAGGUGAAAUCCUGGAGCUCAACUCCAGAACUGCCUUUGAUACUGAGGAUCUUGAGUUCGGGAGAGGUGAGUGGAACUGCGAGUGUAGAGGUGAAAUUCGUAGAUAUUCGCAAGAACACCAGUGGCGAAGGCGGCUCACUGGCCCGAUACUGACGCUGAGGCAC
rnacentral:rRNA from 1 species